CAGCCGUAAACGAUGCGCGUUAGGUGUAUCGACGACCACGAGUCGUCGAGGUGCCGAAGGGAAACCGUGAAACGUGCCGCCUGGGAAGUACGGUCGCAAGGCUGAAACUUAAAGGGAAUUGGCGGGGGGAGCACCACAACAGGUGGAGCCUGCGGUUUAAUUGGACUCAACGCCGGAAAUCUCACCGGAUAAGACAGCAGAAUGAUUGCCGGGCUGAAGACUCUGCAUGACUAGCUGAGAGGAGGUGCAUGGCGUCAGUGACU
rnacentral:rRNA from 1 species